rnacentral:lncRNA from 1 species
UCUAGUCAAGUUAUUUUAACCAUCAGUCAUCCUAGAAUGCGUUGAGUUUGUGUAUAGUUUAUGAUCCUAUACAUUGGCUUAACACUAUAAAUACUCCCCUGCGCCCUUAUGAGCUGAGACCAUCGACCAGGUACAGUGUGCCAUAUUCCAGCAGUUCAAGCAAAUGGCUUCUACAAGGAUACUUGCUCAGCAACUCCACCAGUCUCUUGGAGGUGGAGGGGGCGGUGGAGGUGGUGGUGGCGGCGGCGGCGGCGGUGGCGGAGGAGGUGGUGGCGGUGGGGGUGGGGGUGGCGGUGGCGGUAAUGGAGGAGGUGGUGGAGGUGGAGGAAACUAGAUUGCCUUGCUGCUACCCUCAUCAUAGCCCAGGAGGUUGGCUCUGUUCCAAUCAUUCUGGGAUGAUGGCGAGGUAGUAGCCGUAUCUAUGUUCAGGUUUAUGACCAAGCCAUGAUUGUGUGUGUAGUGCAAAGGUAAAUAAGGACGUCGAGAUAAAUCUCUAAACUCUAUGCAACCAUCGACGUGGUGACUGUAUUUGAAUGAUGUGAAGCAUCUAGCUAUAUAUGUGUCAUGUACUAAGUUAUAUAUGUGCUCUCUCAUUAUAUAUGAUAUAUCCCCUACUUGAAUAACACAGAUAUUCAUCAUCCAAUUUUAUAUGUGCUAAGUUAUAUAUGUCCCCUGCUUGAAUAACACAGAUACUCAAGCCUCUAUAUAUGUGUCAUGUACUAAGUUAUAUAUGUGCUCUCUCAUUAUAUCUAAACUCUGCUUGUCAAGAUCCAGCUACACGAUUUGAAAGAUUGAGCGCAACAAAGUAGGAACCCCAGUACUAAGCGUUGAUCUUGAGUUGUGUUCAGAAUCGAUUUCUGGCUUGAUCGUGGCUUUAGAAGUGCAUCACCGCAGGGGGUAUACCAGUAACAGGCAAGACGGUUAACCAUACCACCAUCACGCCACAUGCACACGAUACGGUGAACGGGCCGUUUCACCGUCCCAUCAAGUCACCCAUGCUAAACAGCGUUAUGAUGGUCACCUCUUUUACUGUGUCGCCACAGUAACUACCUCAUAUUGACUAGGUAAAACCCAAACUCACCCCAACUUCUCACGUAGACAGGGGUGGAUCGAGCAAGCUCCCAAUGAACCGCAAGCUAGGUGACUGUCCCAUAGGUCAUUUGCUCAUGCCCACGUUCAAGGUCGUAGUACCUCACAUUCUCCUGUGGUAACCCGGCUGACAGGAUGGCCAUGGAACCCCUCUUUGGUUGUCCAAACUGACCAAAGGGCCGAUAUAGGAUUGAAUAAGAACUCAAUGAGAUGCCCCAAUGGGUUGAGCCCCCUAGUGGGACCACUCGCCGAGACCUAACCCUAACGGAGGGUGGUCGGAUCUCACUUGGAUAACCUGUUCGUAGCUUGUCGGCCUCCUUCCCCAUGACGACUAGGUUGGUGGAAGGAAGCCUUCCCCUCAAAGAGACCUCAAAAGGCCUUCUGAGGGGAUGCGUGCAUAUCAAGGAUCAAGCCCUGGAAGGCAACUCGCUCCGAGGAUCACCACGCAAGACUAUGCCCGGCUCCGACACUAAGCGGACUCAUGCUCAGCGCGUGACGACCACCGUAGGAAGGGUCCACCCCUAAACUGCUUGAGUACCGAAUAAACCUUCAAGCAAUCCACGUGACGACCAUCAAUUUCUUGGGGCUACAUCUAGCAGAUGCGCAUGCGCACACCCGAGAUUUCGGUCAUCAAUAAGAGUCGAGCAAACCUAGACUCACUCUCAGCACGUGACGACCAUCGUAGGAAGGGUCUGCCCAUAAACUGCUCAAAUACUGAGUGAACCCCCAAGCAAUCAACAUGGAUUACUCGGGGGCUACAUCUAGCAUAUGCGCUUGCACACACCCAAGAAUUUGGUGCUAAGAGAAAGCCUCCAUGCAACUCCAAGGUGUUACAUGAAGGCUCGGGGGCUGCUGGUGAGUAACCGGGAACCGUGUACCGAAAUAGGCCUAGCCUCUUCAAAAACGACCCACCUACCGACCAAGUCUAUGUCAAGCAACUCUACGAGGUGGAUCCACCGGCCAACUUUAAGAGGCGGACAAGCUGACAAACUCUCCGGUGAACAACUUUGAUGACCAACUCGGAUGACCAACUCUCUGAUGACCAACUCCACUGACCAACUCCAUUGAUCAACUCUGCGAGGCAGACCAGCUGACCAACUCUCCGACUACCAACUUCGCCGACCAACUCUAUGAGGCGGACCGACUGACCAACUCUCCGAUGAUCAACUUAGAUGACCAACUCUGAUGACCAACUCUCUCCGAUGACUAACUCCGCCGACCAACUCUGUGAGGCGAGCCGGCUGAGCAACUCUCUUCGACCAACUCCACCGACCAACUCUAUGAGGUGGACCUGCUAACUAAGUCUCCAAUGACCAACUCUGAUGACCAACUCUGAUGACUAACUUCAAUGACGAGCUCUUCGCCAAUCCGCUCUGGCCGACCAACACACCGUCGAGCAACCCAGCGAGGCAAAGAUCUGAGUUCAGCGCUAUUGAUCCGCGUCAGCUACGAUGGGACACGUCACCAUCAAGCCACGUCUAGACGUAUGCACAUCAUGUCGAAUGGGUAUCGGGGUCUCUAAAGUGACCCGUACAUUGGAAGGACGAGACAGCGUGCCUUAUCGGGUGUACGCCUACGCACGCUGAUAGGUGACAAAGGGCUCAUGACGAUAGAAGAAGCCACACCACGUACAGACGCACCAUGAGAAUAAUCAGUGGGACCCAUCGUGCACCAUUACAAAGAUGUCAGCGAUGGACUCGCCACAUGAGCUAGAGUAACAGAUGACGCCAUACCGAGAGUACGGCUACACAUGACUCUACGGAGGACCCACCACGACAACCUGAGGGAGCCAAUCUCUCUCUCUCUCUCUCUCUAUCCAAAAACAGAUAUCCUCUGUAAGGUCCUACCCUUGAGAUAUAAAAGGGCAGGUCGCCCUCUUUCUUCCCACACGAGCACACCAGUUGGAACAUGCCCUCAACAAUACAACGAUCAACACUACACUGGACUAGGACACAAACUUGAGCCAGUAUAACCCACCGUCUCAAAUCCAUCGCUUGAGUCCCCAGCGACUCACCAUUCAGAGUGAGUUCGUGCUAACUUCCCUCUGAACACAAAUCUUAAUCCCCUUGGUUUCCGAAACCAUGACACCAAGAUUUUCUCCAAAUACUUGCCAACAGACUCGCACCUCACCUCAACAACUUGGUUUCCAAAUAUCAAAGUGCCUUCAUCCGUAAAAAAAUGCAUCCAGGACAAUUUCCUUUAUGUGCAAAACACUGUCAGACACCUCCACAAGACAAAAUUAAAAACGUUAGCACUCUCGCAUAUGCUCUUCAUUUUGUCCAUCGACCCCUUAUAGAAGAUUUUGGACCUUGCCAUCGGCCAUGUAGUUCUCAAACCCAUCCCAAUCACAGCAGCAAAAUUAAGAACCUCGCUCUAUGCGGACAAUGCGACUAUAUUCAAAAAUCUAGAUCGUGAGGAGAUGUAGGCUACUAAGCACUUUCUCUGUAAGUUUGGAGACAUAUCUGGUCUGGCUACCAACUUCGAGAAAAGCUUCAUCCACCCGAUCUGUUGUGAUGGCGUUGACUUGGAUCGGGUUCUCCAUUCCUUCCCUGGAGAUUGCAAGAGCUUUCCUUGUCGGUAUCUUGGUUUACUGCUCCAUACUCAGGGGGUGUUUGGUUACACCCCGCUAAAGUUUAGCCCCUGUCCCAUCGAAUGUUUGAACCUCCGUUCCGGGUAUUAAAUGUAGUCGGAUUAUAAAACUAAUUUGUCAGCCGAAGAUUAAAAGACGAGACGAAUCUAGUCCAGUUGGUUGGGUCUAUAUUUCAUACUCCUAUUUAAAAGUCAAACGUUUGAUGUGACCCGGGCUAAACUUUAGCAGGAGCAACCAAACACCCCCUCAACCACUACAGAAAAUUCACGUCCAAUCGCUUAUUGACAAGAUCGGACAACAACUUGCUGACUAGAAAGCCACCUCCUCAUCCGUGCUGGGAAGCCUCGUGCUCAUCUCCUCGGUCCUCUCCUCCAUACCGACAUACCACCUAUCUAUAUUCCCGUUGGUGGCGUGGGCAAGGAAACAUAUAGACAAAAUUCAUCGGUCAUUCCUUUGGAAGGGAGAGGAGCAUGUAAAUGGGGGCCAUUGCCUAGUCAACUAGCCCACAGUACUGUAGACGAAAGGAUUUGGGGCCUGAGAGUUCUUGAUCUUGACAGGUUUAAUCGCGCGCUUUGCCUCCAUUGGCUCUGGCAAGAGUGGAACAAUGAUGAAAAGCCAUGGGCUAGGAUGCAAGUGCCUUGCAACAAUAUGGACAACCUCCUGUUUCAGGCCUCCACUAGAAUUACACAUGGAAAUGACAUAAAGGUAAAAUUUUGGCACCAUAUUUGGCUAGAUGGAGAAGCCCCCCGAACUUUAGCUCCACACAUCUUUGACCUAGUAAACAGGAAGAACAAAAUGGUCGCACAAGAGCUGUCCAACAAUGCAUGGAUAAGGGCCUGAUUGAAACUAUCUUAGCAGGCCUGAGUCCACUUAAAUUCCUUCCCCUUCUCUAACAGUGAGGCCAUUGGCUUCACUAUGUUGGAAAACCCCUUUAUAAAGUGUCGAUAACAUCCCGCGAGUCCCAGAAAACUUUGUAUUUCUGUAACCGACUGAGGUAUCUUUCAAUCCAUUAUUUCUUUUACCUUGAUUGGAUUUACAUCAACUCCCCCAUUGGUGAGGAUAUGCCCAAGAAAGGUAUAUUAUCUAACCAGAACUCACACUUGAUAAAUUUGGCAUAGAGCUGGUUAUCUCUCAACUUCUGCAAUACUAGCCAAAGAUGCUCCUCAUGUUCUCCUUCAUCCUUGGAAUAAAUCACAAUGUCAUCGAUGAAUACCAUGACAAACUUAUCAAGAUAUUCAAUGAACACCUUAUUCAUCAGAUUCAUGAAGUAGGCUAGUGCAUUAGUCAAGCCAAACAACAUGACAGUGCACUCGUAUAGCCCAUAUCGAGUAGAGAAAGCCGUCUUAGGAAUAUCAGAAGGCCUAAUCUUCAUCUGAUGAUAACCAGACCUAAGAUCAAUCCUGGAAAAGUCACUGACACCUCCAUCCGGUCAAACAAAUCUUCAAUACAUGGCAAGGGGUAUUUAUUUUUAAUUGAGAGAUCGGUAAUCGACACACAUUCUUUGGGAACCAUCCUUCUUCUGAACAAACAGGACAGACGCUCCCCAAGGUGAGGAACUAGGACUAAUAUAUCCCAUAUCCUGUAACUCUUGCAGCUGUUUCUUAAGUUCUUUUAAUUCUUCUGCAAACAUUAUAUAGGGUCUUUUGGAAAUAGGGGUGGUUCUAGGUAAGAGAUCAAUAACGAAUUCCACAUCUCUAUCUGGUGGCAUUCCGGGUAACUCUUCUGUAAAAACAUCUGGGAAAUCCCUAAAAACUCGGAUAUGGUCACUGUCGGAGAGAAAAUUCUCCGGCCGAGUGGCGGAACGCACCCGCCCUAAAUCCUAAGAUGAGGAGGGACCUAAGCGUUUUGCCUGGUAGAUGUAAUCGGGAAGAACACAAGAACACACAAGGGUUUAGAGUGGUUCGGGCCGCUGGAGCGUAAUACCCUACUCCACUGUGUGAUGUAUUGAGCUUGAGAGCUUGUAUGAACUUGUGAGUCCGAGAGUCUAAGUGAGCUUGAGCCUAAGUUGGGUCUGCCUUGUAACGUCGUGUGCCCUCCCUUUUAUAGCUCAAGGGGGCACGUACAAGGGUGCUGAGCCCCGACAUGUGGGCCCAGGGGCAAAACGGAGGGAAUACAUAUAGAAGUAUCCAAUGCCAGUGUCACCCAGAAGAUCUCCGAGCGCCAUAAUGUCCGUAGUCCAUAUAGUAUUAAUAUCUCGUGGCUGCCUCCUCGGUAACGCUGAGAGCACCUAGAGGGGGGGUGAAUAGGUGAUCCUGUAAAAGCUUAAGCUUAUAGCCACAAAAACUUGUUAAGGGUUAGCACAAUAAUUGCCAAGUGGCUAAAGAGGAGAUCUUGCACAAUAUGACAAUCACAAAGAAUUCAACACAGAGAAGACACGGUGAUUUAUCCCGUGGUUCGGCCAAGUACAAAACUUGCCUACUCCACGUUGUGGCGUCCCAACGGACGAGGGUUGCAAUCAACCCCUCUCAAGCGGUCCAAAGACCCACUUGAAUACCACGGUGUUUUGCCUUGCUUAUCUUUAUCCCACUCGCGAGGAAUCUCCACAAAUUGGAGUCUCUCGCCCUUACACUUAAGAUUCACAAAGAAGCACGAAGUAAGGGAGGGAAGCAACACACACAAAUCCACAGCGAAAUGCGCACACACACGGCCAAGAAUCGAGCUCAAGGACUAUCUCAAAGUCCUCACAAGAACGGAGCUCGAAUCACUUAGAAUGACAAACGGAUGCGCAAAGACUGAGUGUGGAUGAUCAAGAAUGCUCUAAGGUUGCUUGGUUCUCUCCUCCAUGCGCCUAGGGGUCCCUUUUAUAGCCCCAAGGCAGCUAGGAGCCGUUGAGAACAAAUCUGGAAGGCCAUCUUUGCCUUCUGUCGUCGGGCGCACCGGACAGUCCGGUGCACACCGGACAGUGUCCGGUGCCCGAUUCCUUUCCUUAAAUGGCGAAGCCGACCGUUGCAGAUCUGGGAGUCAUUGGCGCACCGGACAUGUCCGGUGCACACCGGACAGUCCGGUGCCCCCUUCCGACCGUUGGCUCACCGGACAGUCCGGUGCACACCGGACAGUCCGGUGAAUUUUAGCCGUACGCCGUCAGCAAAUUCCCGAGAGCGGCCUCUUCGGCCGAGGCAGCCUGGCGCACCGGACACUGUCCGAUGCAUCACCGGACACUGUCCGGUGCACCACCGGACAGUCCGGUGCCCCAGACCGAAACAGCCUCUUGGCUGUACACAGCCAAGUCUUCUCUUCUCUUCUUCUUUCUGUUUCUAACACUUAGACAAAUAUAUUAGUACACAAAACCAAUGUACUAAGACUUGGAAACAUACCUUUGCUCUAGAUUUGCACUUUGUUCAUCCAUGGGCAUUGAUUCACAUUUAAUUACUUGUGUUGACACUCAAUCACCAAAAUACUUAGAAAUGGCCCAAGGGCACAUUUCCCUUUCAAUCUCCCCCUUUUUGGUGAUUUAUGCCAACACAACAUAAAGCAACUAGAACAAGUGCAAAAUCACUUCAAAUAAAACUCAAAUUGAUUUUGAUUCAAUUUUGGCAUAUAUGGAUCAUCCUUUGCCACCACUUGGUUUGUUUUUGCAAAUCAAACUCAAAUCUCUAUCUCUUAGUCAAACACACAGGUUGAAGCAUAAAGAGAGUCAUUCCAAAAGAGAUUGAUCAAAGAUUUCAAAAACUCCCCCUAUUUCCCAUAAUCAAUACUUCUCCCCACAAGAAGCCAACUUUUGACAAGAGAAACAAUAAGAGACAAUAAAAGAGUUUGACAAAACAAAAACUCUAACCUCUAUUCUACUAUUUUUAAAAUCUCUCAAGUGGUAGCUGAUCCAUUUAUCGCUUUGGCCUUUAUUUUCUCCCCCUUUGGCAUCAAGCACCAAAACGGGAUCAAUCUUGGCCCUUUAACCCCAUUGCCUCACCAAAAUCUUCAAUUAAGAUCAACCAGGCAAUAAGAGUCUAAAGAUGAACUUGGAAUAAGUUACCCUCUCAUCGGAGUGCAGUGGAAGUCUUUCAUGGUCCAAGUCCACUUUUUCCCUUUCAAUCCUCCUUCGAGACUAAAUCAUCAACCUCAAGCACAUGGUUAGUCUCAAAGGGUCAAGUUGUAACACAUCUCCCCCUAAACAUGUGCAUCACUUUGCAACGGACUUGUGAGAUCCAGGGAGUGUUUGUACAACUUGAGCACCAUAAUAAGCAACAAAAUGCAAAAAGGAACAUGAUCAAAAGCAUAAAUACAUGUAUGCUACAAUUCAAUCCAGGUUCCGCGAAUCUAAGACAUUUAGCUCACUACGCAACCUGCAAAAGGUCUUCUCAUCUAGAGGCUUAGUGAAGAUAUCGGCUAGCUGGUUCUCGGUGCUAACAUGAAACACUUCGAUAUCUCCCUUUUGCUGGUGGUCUCUCAAAAAGUGAUGCCGGAUGUCUAUGUGCUUUGUGCGGCUGUGCUCAAUAGGAUUCUCCGUCAUGCGGAUAGCACUCUCAUUAUCACAUAGGAGUGGGACUUUGCUCUGAUUGUAGCCAAAGUCCCGGAGGGUUUGCCUCAUCCAAAGCAGUUGCGCGCAACACUGACCUGCGACAACGUACUCGGCCUCAGCGGUGGAUAGGGCAACGGAGGUUUGUUUCUUAGAGUUCCAUGACACCAGGGACCUUCCUAAGAAUUGGCACGUCCCCGAUGUACUCUUCCUAUCGACCUUACAUCCAGCAUAGUCGGAGUCUGAGUAUCCAACUAAGUCAAAGGUAGACCCCUUUGGAUACCAGAGCCCGAAGCAAGGCGUAGCAACCAAAUAUCUAAGAAUUCGCUUCACCGCCACUAAGUGACAUUCCUUAGGAUCGGAUUGAAAUCUAGCACACAUGCAUACGCUAAGCAUAAUAUCCGGUCUACUAGCACAUAAGUAAAGCAAAGAACCUAUCAUUGACCGGUAUGCUUUUUGAUCAACGGACUUACCUCCUUUGUUGAGGUCGGUGUGUCCGUCGGUCCCCAUCGGAGUCUUUGCGGGCUUGGCGUCUUUCAUCCCAAACCGCUUUAACAGAUCUUGCGUGUACUUCGUUUGGGAGAUGAAGGUGCCAUCCUUGAGUUGCUUUACUUGGAACCCAAGGAAGUAGUUCAACUCGCCCAUCAUCGACAUCUCGAAUUUCUGCGUCAUCACCCUGCUAAAUUCUUCACAAGACUUUUGGUUAGUAGAACCAAAUAUUAUGUCAUCGACAUAAAUUUGGCACACAAACAAAUCACCAUCACAUGUCUUUGUAAAAAGAGUUGGAUCGGCUUUCCCAACCUUGAAAGCAUUAACAAUUAGAAAGUCUCUAAGGCAUUCAUACCAUGCUCUUGGGGCUUGCUUAAGUCCAUAGAGUGCCUUAGAGAGCUUACACACGUGGUCGGGGUACCGUUCAUCCUCGAAGCCAGGGGGUUGCUCCACGUACACCUCCUCCUUGAUCGGCCCAUUGAGGAAAGCGCUCUUCACAUCCAUUUGGUACAACCUGAAAGAAUGGUGAGCGGCAUAUGCUAGCAAGAUACGAAUUGAUUCUAGCCUAGCCACAGGAGCAAAAGUCUCCUCGAAAUCCAAACCUGCGACUUGGGCAUAACCUUUUGCCACAAGGCGAGCCUUGUUCCUCGUCACCACCCCGUGCUCGUCCUGUUUGUUGCGGAAUACCCACUUGGUUCCCACAACGUUUUGCUUGGGACGAGGCACCAGUGUCCAAACUUCAUUGCGCUUGAAAUUGUUGAGUUCCUCCUGCAUGGCCAACACCCAGUCCGGAUCUAGCAAGGCCUCCUCUACCCUGAAAGGCUCAAUAGAAGAGACAAAGGAGUAAUGCUCACAAAAAUUAACUAAUCUAGAUCGAGUAGUAACUCCCUUGCUAAUAUCACCCAGAAUUUGGUCGACGGGAUGAUCCCUUUGAAUCAUCGCUCGAACUUGGGUUGGAGGUGCCGGUUGCGCUUCUUCCUCCGUCACUCGAUCAUCUUGUGCUCCCCCUUGAUCAAGCGCCUCCACUUGAGGUACCUGUUCGUCAUCUUCGGUUGGGGGAUGCACCAUAGUUGAGGAAGAAGGUUGAUCACGUUCAUCUUGUUCCUGUGGCCGCACUUCUCCAAUCGCCAUGGUUCGAAUAGCGGCCGUCGGAACAUCUUCUUCAUCUACAUCAUCACAAUCAACAACUUGCUCUCUUGGAGAGCCAUUAGUCUCAUCAAAUACAACGUCGCUAGAGACUUCAACCAAACCCGAUGAUUUGUUGAAGACUCUAUACGCCUUUGUAUUUGAGUCAUAACCUAACAAAAACCCUUCUACAGCUUUGGGAGCAAACUUAGAAUUUCUACCCUUCUUCACUAGAAUGUAGCACUUGCUCCCAAAAACACGAAAGUAGGAUACAUUGGGUUUGUUACCGGUUAGUAGCUCAUACGAAGUCUUCUUGAGGAGGCGAUGUAGGUAGACCCUGUUGACGGCGUGGCAAGCCGUGUUCACAGCUUCCGACCAGAAACACUCGGGGGUCUUGAAUUCUCCAAGCAUCGUCCUCGCCAUAUCGAUUAGCGUCCUGUUCUUCCUCUCUACUACACCAUUUUGCUGUGGUGUGUAGGGAGCGGAGAACUCGUGCUUGAUCCCUUCCUCCUCAAGAAACUCCUCCACUUGAAGGUUCUUGAACUCGGACCCAUUGUCGCUCCUUAUCUUCUUCACCUUGAGCUCAAACUCAUUUUGAGCUCUCCUGAGGAAGCGCUUGAGGGUCCCUUGGGUUUCAGACUUAUCCUGCAAAAAGAACACCCAAGUGAAGCGGGAAAAGUCAUCAAUAAUAACUAAACCAUACUUACUCCCUCCUAUGCUCAGAUAGGCAACAGGUCCGAAGAGGUCCAUAUGCAGCAGCUCCAGGGGUCUUGAAGUGGUCAUCACAUUCUUGCCGUGAUGCGCUCCUCCCACUUGUUUACCUGCUUGACAAGCUGCACAAGGUCUAUCUUUCUCGAAAUACACGUUAGUCAAACCUAUCACGUGUUCUCCCUUUAGAAGCUUGUGAAGGUUCUUCAUCCCCACAUGUGCUAAGCGGCGAUGCCACAGCCAGCCCAUGCUAGUCUUAGCUAUUAAGCAUGCAUCUAGACCGGCCUCUUCUUUUGCGAAAUCAACUAAAUAAAGUUUGCCGUCUAAUUCACCCUUAAAAGCUAGUGAACCAUCACUUCUUCUAAAGACAGACACAUCUACAUUUGUAAAUAGACAGUUAUAUCCCAUAUGACAUAAUUGACUAACAGAUAGCAAAUUAUAUCCAAGACUUUCCACUAAAAAUACAUUAGAGAUAGAAUGCUCAUUAGAAAUUGCAAUUUUACCUAACCCUUUUACCUUGCCUUGAUUCCCAUCACCGAAUAUAAUUGAAUCUUGGGAAUCCUUAUUCUUGACGUAGGAAGUGAACAUCUUCUUCUCCCCCGUCAUAUGGUUUGUGCAUCCGCUGUCGAUAAUCCAGCUUGAACCCCCGGAUGCAUAAACCUGCAAGGCAAAUUUAGGCUUGGUACUUAGGUACCCAACUCUUGUUGGGUCCUAUAAGGUUAGUGCAAAUUUCUUUAGGGACCCAAAUGCAAGUUUUGUCUCCCUUGCAUUUUGCCCCUAACUUCCUAGCAACUAUUUUCCUAUCCUUUCUACAAAUAGCAAAGGAAACAUUUAGGGCAUGAUAAAUUGUAGAAGGUCCAUGAACUUUCCUAUGAGCAUUAACAACAUUUCUCCUAGGCAUAUUGUGAAUAACAUUUCUUCUACCAACCUUUCUAUCAUGCACAACAUGAGAACUAGAAGCAGUCAUAGCAUAAGAAUCAUAAGCAUGUGAAUCAAAGGCAUCAUAACUUCUAAAAGCAUUUCUAGAAUUUUUUCUAUCAUGAUACAAAAAGGCAUGGUUCUUUUAGCACUAGUAGCCAUAGGGGCCUUCCCUUUCUCCUUGGCGGAGAUGGGAGCCUUAUGGCUUGUCAAGUUCUUGGCUUCUCUUUUGUAGCCAAGUCCAUCCUUAAUUGAGGGAUGUCUACCAAUCGUAUAGGCAUCCCUUGCAAAUUUCAAUUUAUCAAAUUCGCUUUUGCUAGUCUUAAGUUGGGCAUUAAGACUAGACACUUCAUCAUUCAAUUUAGAAAUUGAAGCUAGGUGUUCACUACACGCAUCAAUGUCAAAAUCUUUACACCUAGUGCAAAUCACAACAUGUUCUACACAAGAUGUUGAUUUACUAGAUUUUUCUAGCUUAGCAUUUAAAUCAUCAUUUAUGCUUUUUAAACUAGAAAUUGAAUCAUGACAUGUAGACAACUCACAAGAAAGCAUUUCAUUUCUCUUAAUCUCUAAAGCAAGUGAUUUUUGUGCUUCUACAAACUUAUCAUGUUCAUCAUACAACAAAUCCUCUUGCUUUUCUAAAAGCCUAUCCUUUUCAUUCAAGGCAUCAAUCAAUUCAUUGAUUUUAUCAAUUUUAUUUCUAUCUAAUCCCUUGAACAAACUAGAGUAAUCUAUUUCAUCAUCACUAGACUCAUCGUUACUAGAAGAAUCAUAAGUGACAUCAUUACGAGUGAUUACCUUCUUCUCUCUUGCCAUGAGGCAAGUGUGACGCUCGUUGGGGAAGAGGGAUGACUUGUUGAAUGCAGUGGCGGCGAGUCCCUCAUUGUCGGAGUCAGACGAGGAGCAGUCUGAAUCCCACUCCUUGCCAAGAUGAGCCUCGCCCUUUGCCUUCUUAUAAUUCUUCUUCUUCUCCCUCUUGUUCCCUUGGUCCUGAUCACUAUCAUUGUCGGGACAGUUAGCAAUAAAAUGACCAAGCUUACCGCAUUUGAAGCACGAACGCUUCCCCUUGACUUUGGUCUUGCUUGGCUGUCCCUUGCGACCUUUAAGCGCCAUCUUGAAUCUUUUGAUGAUGAGGGCCAUCUCUUCAUCAUUAAGUCCGGCUGCCUCAAUUUGUGCCACCCUGCUAGGUAGCGCCUCCUUGCUUCUUGUUGCCUUGAGAGCAAGGGGUUGAGGCUCGUUGAUUGGUCCAUUCAAGGCGUCGUCCACGUAUCUUGCCUCCUUGAUCAUCAUCCGCCCGCUUACGAAUUUUCCGAGUACCUCCUCGGGCGUCAUCUUCGUGUACCUGGGAUUCUCACGAAUAUUGUUCACGAGAUGAGGAUCAAGAACGGUAAAUGAUCUUAGCAUUAGGCGGACGACGUCGUGAUCCGUCCAUCGCGUGCUUCCGUAGCUCCUUAUUUUGUUGAUAAGGAUCUUGAGCCGGUUGUAUGUUUGCGUCGGCUCCUCGCCCCUUAUCAUCGCGAAUCGUCCGAGCUCGCCCUCCACCAACUCCAUCUUGGUGAGUAAGGUGACAUCAUUCCCCUCAUGAGAGAUCUUGAGGGUGUCCCAAAUCUGCUUGGCAUUGUCCAAGCCGCUCACCUUGUGAUACUCGUCCCUGCACAAAGAGGCUAGCAACACAGUAGUAGCUUGUGCAUUUUUAUGGAUCUGUUCAUUAAUAAAUGAAGGACUAUCCGAGCUAUCAAAUUUCAUUCCACUUUCCACAAUCUCCCAAAUGCUUGGAUGGAGAGAAAAUAGGUGUGUACGCAUUUUGUGACUCCAAAAUCCGUAGUCCUCUCCAUCAAAGUGAGGAGGCUUGCCAAGUGGAAUGGGGAGCAAAUGAGCAUUUGAGCUGUGCGGAAUGCGCGAAUAAUCAAAAGAGAAGUUUGAGUUAACCGUCUUUUGUUUGUCGUAGUCGUCGUCCUUGUGGGAAGAAGUAGACUCGUCGCUGUCGUAGUAGACGAUCUCCUUGAUACGUCUUGUCUUUUUCUUCUUCCCAUCUUUACGUCUGUGUCCCGAGCCAGAGUCGUUGGAUUUGUCAUCUUUUGGCUCGUUGACGAAGGACUCCUUUUCCUUGUCGUUGAUCACGAUUCCCUUCCCCUUAGGAUCCAUCUCUUCGGGCGGUUAGUCCCUUUCUUGAAGAGAACGGCUCCGAUACCAAUUGAGAGCACCUAGAGGGGGGGUGAAUAGGUGAUCCUGUAAAAGCUUAAGCUUAUAGCCACAAAAACUUGUUAAGGGUUAGCACAAUAAUUGCCAAGUGGCUAAAGAGGAGAUCUUGCACAAUAUGACAAUCACAAAGAAUUCAACACAGAGAAGACACGGUGAUUUAUCCCGUGGUUCGGCCAAGUACAAAACUUGCCUACUCCACGUUGUGGCGUCCCAACGGAUGAGGGUUGCAAUCAACCCCUCUCAAGCGGUCCAAAGACCCACUUGAAUACCACGGUGUUUUGCCUUGCUUAUCUUUAUCCCACUCGCGAGGAAUCUCCACAAAUUGGAGUCUCUCGCCCUUACACUUAAGAUUCACAAAGAAGCACGGAGUAAGGGAGGGAAGCAACACACACAAAUCCACAGCGAAAUGCGCACACACACGGCCAAGAAUCGAGCUCAAGGACUAUCUCAAAGUUCUCACAAGAACGGAGCUCGAAUCACUUAGAAUGACAAACGGAUGCGCAAAGACUGAGUGUGGAUGAUCAAGAAUGCUCUAAGGUUGCUUGGUUCUCUCCUCCAUGCGCCUAGGGGUCCCUUUUAUAGCCCCAAGGCAGCUAGGAGCCGUUGAAAACAAAUCUGGAAGGCCAUCUUUGCCUUCUGUCGUCGGGCGCACCGGACAGUCCGGUGCACACCGGACAGUGUCCGGUGCCCGAUUCCUUUCCUUAAAUGGCGAAGCCGACCGUUGCAGAUCUGGGAGUCGUUGGCGCACCGGACAUGUCCGGUGCACACCGGACAGUCCGGUGCCCCCUUCCGACCGUUGGCUUGGCCACGUGUCGCGCACAGAAUCUGCGGCCGACCGUUGGCCCGGCCGACCGUUGGCUCACCGGACAGUCCGGUGCACACCGGACAGUCCGGUGAAUUUUAGCCGUACGCCGUCAACAAAUUCCCGAGAGCGGCCUCUUCGGCCGAGGCAGCCUGGCGCACCGGACACUGUCCGGUGCACCACCGGACAGUCCGGUGCCCCAGACCGAAACAGCCUCUUGGCUGUACACAGCCAAGUCUUCUCUUCUCUUCUUCUUUCUGUUUCUAACACUUAGACAAAUAUAUUAGUACACAAAACUAAUGUACUAAGACUUGGAAACAUACCUUUGCUCUAGAUUUGCACUUUGUUCAUCCAUGGGCAUUGAUUCACAUUUAAUUACUUGUGUUGACACUCAAUCACCAAAAUACUUAGAAAUGGCCCAAGGGCACAUUUCCCUUUCAAACGCGCGAGUCAUGAUGAGCACAGUGUAUGCCGCAACACGGGCGUACUGCCUUCCAACGGAAUGGACAGGCACACCGCCUGCAGGAUGGCCUGGUCGCCGCCCGUCAGCGGAGUGGACAGGGCACAUUAAAUGAUGAGGCGACACAUCACCUGCCAGUGGAAUGGACAUGGCUCAUUAAAUGCCGAGGCGGCACAUCACCUGCCAGUGGAAUAGACAGGCGGCGCGCCUUAUCCGCAAUAAAUGCAGAGGACGCGCGGCACAGAGGCCUUACGUCAGGCUCCGCCCGCUGGCUUACGUCACGGGCAGUCGGCUACGUGGCAGCAUCGGGUCUUCGCCUGAGCGGGGAGUGGAAGAGUACGCGGUAUGGUCCGGACACGUGUCGGCUCCGGACCCCCGCCUGGCCUUGGUCAAGGCCUGGGUAUUCUUUGUCCCAGAAUCCCGGGACCUCGCUGUGAGUGGCCUGAACCCCACACAGAGGGGUCCGGGACCCGUCCCAGGGGUCCGGUUCACGCCCGUGGGGGUCCUGGACCUUACUCGAAGGUCCGGCCCGCAUAUACAGGGGUCCGGUACUUUCCCAUGGGGGUCCGGACCCACUGUUGAUGCCUUGGAGCAUAUCGUCUUCUCCGGCCACGUGGCGGCCUCGGAGCCGUCCACGCGGUGGGGUCGGGUGCUGUUUGCCACGCGACUAGAGUUAGCCGCGUGGGCACCACGCCUUCAUACUAUAGAAAGGGGUACCCCUGUUUCAGGGUACCGAUAGUCACCUACAAGUUUUCCCUCAAGCUGAUAGAUAGCUAGUUUAGUGGAUGGUGAUAAGGUGACUGCGACCUCAAAUCUAUCUUUGCCCAGACUAGUGAGCUCAAUCGUUCCCUUGGCACAAUUUAUAACCACAUUGCACUCUUUUAACCAUUUCAUACCAAGGAUUAGAUCUAUGUCACUUUCCUCUAGUACUAUGGGUGUGGACCAAAACAUUCUUCCCAAGAUGGUUAUAUUUAUUUGACAACACAUAAAAUUUGCUUCAAUAUGUCCCUUAGGUGUGAUAACUACCAUGGGUUUACACAUAUUUAUAAAGGGUAGAUCAUGCGAAUUAACAUAACGAGAAGAGAUGAAAGAAUGUGAAGCUCCCGAGUCAAAUAGUAUAGAUGAUGAUAUGGAAUUAAUAAAGAACGUACCAAUGACGAUGUUCAAACCAUAAGUAGUAGCUUCAUCAUUGAUCUCAUUAACCCGACCAAGAGUAAAGUUUUGUUGGCCGCAGUUUUCGGAUGGAGCCUGACCAAUGGCAGAUUGGUUUGAUCUAUUAGGUUUACUGCCUCAAGCUGGAGUGACGUUUGCAUUCCUCUUAGGGAAAGCAUUGGUGUAGUGCCCUACCUCACUACAUUUGAAACAUGCAUUGCCUUUAGAGGUGUUUUGGCUAGUAGGUCUCGCCGGGGUGCCAGCUGGGGUAGCCUAACGAGGGCAUGGUGUUUGAGGGGUGGCCUAUGGUGACUGCUGAACAGGGUGUUGGUAUGACUGCAACCCUCCUUCUGAAUGAGUUGGGGUACCCUAAGGCAGAGUGUAACGAGGGCGAUUGUUGUUGCCAGCCUACCUGUCCUUGGGUGAUAGCCUUCCUCUCCAUUCAUCUCGCCUAGCUGAACACGUUUGUGUUCAAGAUCUAUGGCCUUGUCCAAAAGUUUCUAGAAAGAUGGGAAUGAGUGAGACAUCAGUUGGUAUUGGAGUGGCCCAAUGAGUCCCUUCAGAAAUAAUUCUUGCUUCGUUUCGUCUUCAAUGACCUCUUUAUGAGCAUAUCUGGAUAACUGGAUGAAUUUGUCUCUAUACUUGCUCACUGACAUCCCUCCUUGCCGGAGUGAGAGAAACUCCUUCUUGAUCUUCAUUAAACUAGUAGGAAUAUGGUAGUUUUUGAAGUUGGUUGAGAAUUCUGCCCAAGUGAUGGUGUCAGCGGCAACAUGUGUUGCACAAUAAGUGUCCCACCAAUCGGCAGCGAGGCUAGUGAGGCGACCCGAUGCAUACAAUAUUUUCUCCCUAUCUGUGCAUUGAGCAAUAUUGAUCAUCUUUUCUACAGAUUUUAGCCAGUCGUCAGCUUGUAGUGGAUCUGGGAAGCUACAAAAGGUGGGUGGUUUGUGGCUCAUGAACUCACGGUGUUUGUCUCAGGGUGGUGGUUGGUGCGAGUGUUGCUGAUUAUUAUUGAGCUGGGCUUGCAUGUUGGCCAUUGCAUUAUCCAUCUACUGAAGUAGAUGGGUUUGGGCAGCGAAGAAGGCUUUCGACCCAGUGGGUGGAGGAUUUGGGGGAUUCACUUGUGAUUCUGGAUUAAUUAUUGCCCUUCUUCGACGUAUGCAUGCCAAUUAAUCAACAUAUCCUCCUCUGGUAUUGACCAUAUGUGUUAGAUAUAUAGGGUAAGAUAGAUUUGUAGAUAAGACAAAUAGUAAGGUACGAGACACAUGCCUUUUAGGUUGAGAUCUUUUGGGUCACAAUAGCUCAGUUGGGAAAAGCAAUCCUACCUAUCAUUACAACACUACUUCUAUGUGGGUACAUGCUAGAAUGUACCUACUAUACUAUGUUUUAUUGUGGAUAUAACCCCACAAAUAUUCCACUCAAUCAAAGAACCAAAUCAAUUAGGUAUCAUAGGGACAAACAUUCAAGCGCAUCUUAUCUACAAAAACAUUUUUUCUAGAAUUAGGUCUCUUAUCUCGUAAGGAAUCAUGGGUGUAGGAUUCCAAGGUGUGAAAUCCUUUUUUUCUUUAGAGUAGAAAAUAUGAGAGUAGUCAGAGUAAAGCAACAAAAGAUCAGACAGGAUCAAGGAAAGUAUAGAAGAAUCAUAGUAGUAAAGGUAAGUAGGCAAAUGUUUGUCCAGUUCUAUCUAGGACGUCCUAUAGUCAACAUUCCUCUUAUACCACUUAUGUCACACCCGGAUUUAAGGGCAAAUCCAAGUGCAUCUCAUAUGUACGCCAGAAUAAGAUCAACACACAAUGACUCAGUGUAUAGCGAUGAAUGUCAUAAUCUUUUUUACAUAACGAGAAUGUCUUACAAAAUAACUUAUAGUAGAAUAAAACAAACUAAAAUACUAUCUCCACGACGCCAUAGUUGACUAGGAGACGACGCCUUGAUCUCAUCGAACUUAUCAUAGUAGUCCUCCUCAAGUGGUACUUGCUCUUCACUUGGUGUGAUUAUAGCAAGAGUGAGCUCACAUACGAUCAUCGCUCAACAAGUUGUGGGGAAUAAUGUGCAUGAGCUCACUUAUGGUGGGGGCUCAUGUGUAGUGUAAAGCUUUCCAAGGAAAGUGGUUAAGGCUGAGCAUUGCUUUUAAUAAGUUUGGUCAAAAUUUUAUUAGCAAUUACUAAGUAUAAGUAAAUACAAUUCCAAUUAAAUAAGAGAUCACAAUUAAUAAUUCCCACAAUGCAAUGCAAAUGACAGACUAUGUUUAAUUCCAUUAAUUACUCAAGUGAGGGUCCAAACCGCUCAUGAUCGUGAGCACGACUGAUAUACCAGUUUUACACUCCGCAGAGGUUACACAUCUUUACCCACAAGCAAUAUUUACCCAUUUGCCAAGUGGUAUAGAAUUCACAUUCAUCUCUAUCAAGGAGACGAGGCAGGGUAGCACUACCAGCAACUUCUCCACCCUGCUUGCCCCUUUCGUGAAAAGGAUUAACUCACACUAGCUUUCCUAAUUAAUUAGCCAAGGGCGUGCCAUUCCACCCUUGUGGUAGCACUGUUUUCUUGGGUGGUCACUCCAUGUUCUGAUUAACAAAAUAAUAUUAUCAUGAAUAAUAAAGAAUCCAUUGACAAUAAAGCAUGAUCAUAAUUCAUAUAUAGAAUUAAUCCCAAAACCAGGUAGAGCAUAGCAAGACUACCCAAUAAUUCAUUUAUAUGCAAGGUGUAAGGUGAACAAAACUAGGCAACCUAUUAGGUCCCAUCAGGUUAACCUAAGCAUGUCAUAGUGAUUAUAAUGAACAUUAUUAGGUCAAAGAAAAUGAUCAAGGACACAACUUGCCUUCAACGAGUUCCUGCUCGAUCAGAAUCUUCAACUUGCGGUGCUUCCGGUUCCUCGUGCACGUGUUCGUCUAUUCACAACAAUCCAAACAAACAACAUGUAGACAGAAAUUAACAUCACACCAAAUAUAGAAACAAACUACAUAAUAUUAAUCUAUAAGUUGAGAUGAAACCGUAGGUUCAAGAACCGCUAAAAUCGGAGUUAAAAUAUAUGAGUUAUGAUUUUUUUCUAUGUUUUUAGAAUUAUAUUCAUACUAAAAUCAUUUUAUUUAUCAAUUUACAUACUUUUAAUUAUCCUUUGGCAUGUGGGUUCUAUUUUUGGGAAACACAAGGGCUGUUUCAAAAAUAAUUGGAUCCGCUUGUGAUGAUCUCUCUAUAGUGCUGGACGGUGGGUUGAUUUGGCAAAAAACUGAGGGGCUCUUAAUGAUGAGUGCCACAACGAAAGGGUAUGGACGUGAUCAAGCCAUUCGAUCAAAUUUUAUUGGUUGGGAUUAAUUCCCGUUGUGACCGAACCGGUAAGUGACCCGAGACGUCCGAUCGAUGAUCGACGGUUACGGAUUAAAAUUCAUGGGAUCCGAUUCUGGACUUGGAUGCGCUACGUGGAUCAACGACAACCAUUAAAUGAGGCCAAAGGGGUAUGUCGAUCUAAUCAUAGCCGUCCAUCAACCGUUCGACGGCUAACACGCGACUUUAUCCCUAGUCGAACUCCUGCGGUGCUUACGCCUACGCGGCAGUGAUCUUCACCGAAGACAGGAAUCCAAGGACCCUAGGCCCUAAUCUCAGGGCGCAGAGAUGCACACGAUGCCGAGACUCUAGCAAAACCAACCAGGGCCCUAUUACUAAGAGUAGGAACAUGGGAUAACCUCACCCACACACUUAGCGACUCCACGGUGGCGCCAAUAUUUUGGUGAGCAAUUCACGUGACUAGGACGAUCACCUACCUAUAAUACCCAGUGCUAUGCAACAUAGGAAGUCAGGUGAAGGAUAUGAUGAUUUCUCACCAGCGGUGAUGUAGUGGUGAGGUCGAAUCGUGUGGUGGACGAAUCCUCGACAGAGAUUUGCUUCAUGAGCAAUCUGCCAUGAGUAGGGCGACUCCAGCCUCGAGUAGUCACCAAACCGACUUUAAUGGCUCUAGACGAUGACCUUCAGGCGCUUUCUCAAAGCUGACUUUGUCGACAAGCUAGGAAUGGCUUACGAUGGAUUUUGUCCUUUCUGUCCGUCGGUUCACCACCGACAAUUCUUGUUCCAUUGAGUUAGACCCCUCUAGUUUUUCCGUGAAGGAUCUGGCCACCAGGACCCCUCUCGCCCGCUAUGUCAGCGCCGGGCCCCUCUACACGCUCUGGCAUUCUUCCACUGGCGCAUCUCCACCACCCGUCCUGGUCUCCACCACCACCUCCACAACUUAGCAUCGUCAUCUCGACCACCUAGGAACUGACGUCAUGACCAAGCUUUCCAGCAGUCUAAAUUCUUCUUGUAGUAGGGGACAUUUUGAGGGUCUGUGUCAUGCUUGUCAGUAAGGCCGACAUACUCGUCUCCCAUUUACUACCUCUUCUUCUCAUGCUGAGCAGGCUUUUGAGCUGGUUCAUUGUGAUCUCUGGACCUCCCCUGUACUCAGUCUUUCUGGAUAUAAAUACUAUUUGGUGAUUUUGGAUGAUUUUCCCAUUUUCUCUAGACUUUUCCUCUUCGGUUGAAGUCUGACACAUUCACCACUCUCACACACUUCUUCGCCUGGGUAUUCAUCUAGUUUCGUUGCCCUGUCCGUGCCCAGCAGUGCGACAAUGGCCGCGAGUUCGAUAACCACGCCUCCCAAUCGUUCUUUCUCACCAGUGGCGUUCAAUUGCAUCUCUCGUGCCCCUACACCUCUGCCUAGAAUGGUCGGUGAAAGGGAAUUAGGCUUACACCUAGUCCCUAAUUGAUUUUGGUGGUUGAAUUGCCCAACAUAAAUAAUUGGACUAACUAGUUUGCCCAAGUGUAUAGAUUAUACAGGUAUAAAAGGUUCACACUCAGCCAAUAAAAAGACCAUGUUUUGGAUUUAACAAAGGAGCGAAGGGGCAACCGAAGGCCCUCUGGUCUGGGAGCACCGGACUGUCCGGUGCACCAGAGGACUCCAGCUCAAACUCGCCACCUUCGGGAAUUUCCAGAGGCACUCGCGCUAUAAUUCACCGGACUGUCCGGUGUACACCGGACAGUGUCCGGUGCGCCAAGGAGGAGCUGCCUCAGGAACUCACUAGCCUCGGGAAACUCCAACGGCUAGUCCGCUAUAAUUCACCGGACUGUCCGGUGUGCACCGGACUGUCCGGUGCGACUUCGGGGCAAUGGCUAUCUCCGCGCCAACGGCUACCUGCUGUGCAAUAAAUGCGCGCGCAGAAGUCAGGCGCACCCAUACUGGUGCACCAGACAGCAAACAGUACCUGUCCGGUGUGCACCGGACACCCAGGCGGGCCCACAAGUCAGAAGCUCCAACGGUCAGAAUCCAACGGCCGUGAUGACGUGGCAGGGGGCACCGGACUGUCCGGUGUGCACCGGACUGUCCGGUGCGCCAUCGAGCAGACAGCCUCCCAACGGCCACUUUUGGUGGUUGGGGCUAUAAAUACCCCAACCACCCCACCAUUCAUUGCAUCCAAGUUUUCCACCUCUCAACUACUACAAGAGCUCUAGCAUUCAAUUCUAGACACACCAAAGAGAUCAAAUCCUCUCCAAUUCCACUCAAGCCUUUAGUGACUAGCGAGAGAGAUUUGUCGUGUUCUUUUGAGCUCUUGCGCUUGGAUCGCCUUCUUUCUUUCUCACUUGUUCUUGUGAUCAAAACUCCAUUGUAAUCAAGGCAAGAGGCACCAAUUGUGUGGUGGCCCUUGCGGGGAAGUUUUGUUCCCGGCUUUGAUUUGAGAAGAGAAGCUCACUCGAUCCGUGGGAUCGUUUGAGAGAGGGAAGGGUUGAAAGAGACCCGGCCUUUGUGGCCUCCUCAACGGGGAGUAGGUUUGCGAGAACCGAACCUCGGUAAAACAAAUCCACGUGUCACACUCUUCAUUUGCUUGCGAUUUGUUUUACGCUCUCUCUCGCGGACUCGUUUCUUUACUUCUAACGCUAACCCCGGCUUGUAGUUGUGUUUAUAUUUGUAAAUUUCAGUUUCGCCCUAUUCACCCCCCCCCCUCUAGGCGACUAUCAAUUGGUAUCGGAGCCCGGUGCUUCAUUAGAGCCUAACCGCUCGAAGUGAUGUCGGGAGAUCACGCCAAGAAGGAGAUGGAGACCGGCGAAAAGCCCACUACAAGCCACGGGAGCACUUCAUCGGAAGAAUCCCGCACCAAGAGGAGGGAAAAGAAGAAGAGCUCCUCCAACAAAGGGAAGGAGAAGAAAUCUUCUUCUCACCACAAAGAGAAGAAGGAAAAAUCUUCUUCCCACAAGCCACAUCGGAGUGGGGACAAGCAAAAUAGGUUGAGGAAAGUGGUCUACUAUGAGACCGACACUUCAUCAACAUCGACCUCCGGCUCCGAUGCGCCCUCCGUAACUUCUAAACGCCAAGAGCGUAAGAAGUUUAGUAAGAUCCCCCUACACUACCCUCGCAUUUCUAAACAUGCACCUUUACUUUCCGUCCCAUUAGGCAAACCACCAACUUUUGAUGGUGAAGAUUAUGCUAGGUGGAGUGAUUUAAUGCGAUUUCAUCUAACCUCACUCCACAAAAGUAUAUGGGAUGUUGUUGAGUUUGGUGCACAGGUACCAUCCGUAGGGGAUAAAGACUAUGAUGAGGAUGAGGUGGCCCAAAUCGAGCACUUCAACUCUCAAGCGACAACAAUACUCCUCGCCUCUCUAAGUAGAGAGGAGUAUAACAAAGUGCAAGGGUUGAAGAGCGCCAAGGAGGUUUGGGAUGUGCUCAAAACCGCUCACGAAGGAGACGAGCUCACCAAGAUCACCAAGCGGGAAACGAUCGAGGGGGAGCUCGGUCGGUUCCGGCUUCGCAAAGGGGAGGAGCCACAACACAUGUACAACCGGCUCAAGACCUUGGUGAACCAAGUGCGAAACCUCGGGAGCGUAAAGUGGGAUGACCAUGAAGUGGUUAAGGUUAUUCUAAGAUCUCUUAUUUUCCUUAACCCUACUCAAGUUCAAUUAAUUCGUGGUAAUCCUAGAUAUACUAAAAUGACCCCCGAGGAAGUAAUCGGGCAUUUUGUAAGUUUUGGGUGCAUGAUCGAAGGCUCGAGAAAGAUCAACGAGCUUGAUGAUCCAUCUACAUCCGAAGCUCAACCCGUCGCAUUCAAGGCGACAGAAGAGAAGAAGGAGGAGUCUACCCCAAGUCGACAACCAAUAGACGCCUCCAAGCUUGACAAUGAGGAAAUGGCGCUCGUCAUCAAGAGCUUCCGCCAAAUCCUCAAGCAAAGGAGAGGGAAAGACUACAAGUCCCGCUCCAAGAAGGUUUGCUACAAGUGUGGUAAGCCCGGUCACUUUAUUGCCAAAUGUCCAUUAUCAAGUGAUAGUGACAGGGGCGAGGACAAGAAGGGGAGAAGAAAGGAGAAGAAGAGGUACUACAAGAAGAAGGGCGGCGAUGCCCAUGUUUGUCGGGAGUGGGACUCCGACGAAAGCUCAAGCGACUCCUCCGACGACGAGGACGCCGCCAACAUCGCCGUCACCAAGGGACUCCUCUUCCCCAACGUCAGCCACAAGUGCCUCAUGGCAAAGGACGGCAAAAAGAAGGUUAAAUCUAAAUCCUCCACUAGAUAUGAAUCCUCUAGUGAUGAUAAUGCUAGUGAUGAGGAAGAUAAUUUGUGUACCCUUUUUGCCAACCUUAACAUGGAACAAAAAGAAAAAUUAAAUGAAUUGAUUAGUGCUAUUCAUGAAAAGGAUGACCUUUUGGACUCUCAAGAGGACCUCCUAAUUAAGGAAAACAAGAAACACGUUAAGGUUAAAAAUGCUUUUGCUCUAGAAAUUGAGAAAUGUCAAAAACUAUCUAGUGAGCUAAGCACUUGCCAUGAAACAAUAGACAACCUUAGAAAUGAAAAUGCUAAUUUGUUAGCUAAGGUUGAUUCUCAUGUUUGCAAUGUUUCAAUUCCCAACCCUAGAGAUAAUAAUGAUGAUUUGCUUUCUAGGAUUGAAGAAUUGAACAUUUCUCUUGCUAGCCUUAGAAUUGAGAAUGAAAAAUUGCUUGCUAAGGCUAAAGAUUUUGAUGUUUGCAAUGUUACAAUUUCCGAUCUUAGAGAUAAUAAUGAUAUCUUGCGUGCUAAGAUCGUAGAACUUAAUUCAUGCAAACCCUCUACAUCUAGUGUUGAGCAUGUUUCUAUCUGUGCUAGAUGUAGAGAUGUUAACAUUGAUGCUAUUCAUGAUCAUAUGGCUUUAAUUAAACAACAAAAUGAUCAUAUAGCAAAAUUAGAUGCUAAAAUUGCCGAGCAUAACUUAGAGAAUGAAAAAUUUAAAUUUGCUAGAAGUAUGCUCUAUAAUGGGAGACGCCCUGGCAUCAAGGAUGGCAUUGGCUUUCAAAGGGGAGACAAUGUCAAACUUAAUGCCCCUCCCAAGAAAUUGUCUAACUUUGUUAAGGGCAAGGCUCCCAUGCCUCAGGAUAACGAGGGUUACAUUCUGUACCCUGCCGGUUAUCCUGAGAGCAAAAUUAGGAAAAUUCAUUCUAGGAAGUCUCACUCUGGUCCCAAUCAUGCUUUUAUGUAUAAGGGUGAGACAUCUAGUUCUAGGCAACCAACCCGUGCUAAGUUGCCUAAGAAAAUUCCUAUUGCAUCAAAUGAUCAUGACAUUUCAUUUAAAACCUUUGAUGCAUCAUAUGUUUUAACUAACAAAUCCGGCAAGAUAGUUGCCAAAUAUAUUGGGGGCAAGCACAAGGGCUCCAAGACUUGUGUUUGGGUACCCAAAGUUCUUGUGUCUAAUGCCAAAGGACCCAAAACCAUUUGGGUACCUAAAGUUAAGAACUAAACUUGUUUUGUAGGUUUAUGCAUCCGGGGGCUCAAGUUGGAUACUCGACAGCGGGUGCACAAACCACAUGACAGGGGAGAAGAAGAUGUUCUCCUCAUAUGAGAAAAACCAAGAUCCCCAACGAGCUAUCACAUUCGGGGAUGGAAAUCAAGGUUUGGUCAAAGGUCUUGGUAAAAUAGCUAUAUCUCCUGACCAUUCCAUUUCCAAUGUUUUUCUUGUUGAUUCUUUAGAUUACAACUUGCUUUCUGUAUCUCAAUUAUGUCAAAUGGGCUACAGCUGUCUAUUCACUGAUGUAGGUGUCACUGUCUUUAGAAGAAAUGAUGAUUCAAUAGCAUUUAAAGGAGUGUUAGAGGGUCAGCUAUACUUGGUAGAUUUUGAUAGAGCUGAACUCAACACUUGCUUAAUUGCUAAGACUAACAUGGGUUGGCUCUGGCACCGCCGACUAGCCCAUGUUGGGAUGAAGAAUCUUCACAAGCUUCUAAAGGGAGAACACAUUUUAGGAUUAACAAAUGUUCAUUUUGAGAAAGACAGGAUUUGUAGCGCAUGCCAAGCAGGGAAGCAAGUUGGCACCCAUCAUCCGCAUAAGAACAUAAUGACGACCGACAGGCCACUGGAGCUCCUACACAUGGAUCUAUUCGGCCCGAUCGCUUACACAAGCAUCGACGGGAGUAAGUACUGUCUAGUUAUUGUGGAUGAUUAUUCUCGCUUCACUUGGGUAUUCUUUCUACAGGAAAAAUCUCAAACCCAAGAGACCUUAAAGGGAUUCUUGAGACGGGCUCAAAAUGAGUUCGACUUAAGGAUCAAGAAAAUAAGAAGCGACAACGGGACGGAGUUCAAGAACUCACAAAUUGAAGGCUUCCUUGAGGAGGAGGGCAUCAAGCAUGAGUUCUCUUCUCCCUACACGCCACAACAAAAUGGUGUAGUAGAGAGGAAGAAUCGAACCCUAUUGGACAUGGCAAGGACCAUGCUUGAUGAGUACAAGACUUCGGAUCGGUUUUGGGCCGAGGCGGUCAACACCGCCUGCUACGCCAUCAACCGGCUAUAUCUACACCGAAUCCUCAAGAAGACAUCAUACGAACUCCUAACCGGUAAAAAGCCCAACAUUUCAUAUUUUAGAGUCUUUGGUAGCAAAUGCUUUAUUCUUGUUAAAAGAGGUAGAAAAACUAAAUUUGCUCCUAAGACUGCAGAAGGCUUUUUACUUGGCUAUGACUCAAACACAAGGGCAUAUAGGGUCUUUAACAAGUCCACUGGACUAGUUGAAGUCUCAUGUGACGUUGUGUUUGAUGAGACUAAUGGCUCUCAAGUAGAGCAAGUUGAUCUUGAUGAGAUAGGUGAAGAAGAGGCUCCAUGCAUCGCGCUAAGGAACAUGUCCAUUGGGGAUGUGUGUCCUAAGGAAUCCGAAGAGCCUCCAAAUGCACAAGAUCAACCUUCCUCCUCCACGCAAGCAUCUCCACCAACUCAAAAUGAGGAUGAAGCUCAAGUUGAUGAAGUAGAAGAUCAAGCAAAUGAGCCACCUCAAGAUAAUGGCAAUAAUCAAGGGGGAGAUGCAAAUGAGGAAGAUAAGGAGGAAGAGGAACAAAGGCCGCCACACCCAAGAGUCCACCAAGCAAUCCAACGAGAUCACCCCGUCGACACCAUCCUCGGCGACAUUCAUAAGGGGGUAACUACUCGAUCUCGUGUUGCACAUUUUUGUGAACAUUACUCGUUUGUUUCCUCUAUUGAGCCACACAGGGUAGAGGAAGCACUCCAAGAUUCGGAUUGGGUGGUGGCGAUGCAAGAGGAGCUCAACAACUUCACUAGGAAUGAGGUAUGGCAGUUAGUUCCACGUCCUAACCAAAAUGUUGUAGGAACCAAAUGGGUCUUCCGCAACAAGCAAGAUGAGCAUGGUGUGGUGACAAGGAACAAAGCUCGACUUGUGGCCAAGGGAUACUCCCAAGUCUAAGGUUUGGAUUUCGGUGAAACCUAUGCACCCGUAGCUAGGCUUGAGUCAAUUCGUAUAUUAUUAGCCUAUGCUACUUACCAUGGCUUUAAGCUUUAUCAAAUGGAUGUGAAAAGUGCCUUCCUCAAUGGACCAAUCAAGGAAGAGGUCUAUGUUGAGCAACCUCCCGGCUUUGAAGACGGUGAGUAUCCUAACCAUGUCUAUAAGCUCUCUAAGGCGCUCUAUGGGCUCAAACAAGCCCCAAGAGCAUGGUAUGAAUGUCUUAGAGAUUUCCUUAUUGCUAAUGGCUUCAAAGUCGGUAAAGCCGAUCCUACUCUAUUCACUAAGACUCUUGAAAAUGACUUGUUUGUAUGCCAAAUUUAUGUUGAUGAUAUUAUAUUUGGGUCUACUAACGAGUCUACAUGUGAAGAGUUUAGUAGGAUCAUGACACAGAAAUUCGAGAUGUCUAUGAUGGGGGAGUUGAAGUAUUUUCUAGGAUUCCAAGUCAAGCAACUCCAAGAGGGCACCUUCAUUAGUCAAACAAAGUAUACCCAAGACAUUCUAACCAAGUUUGGAAUGAAGGAUGCCAAACCCAUCAAGACACCCAUGGGAACUAAUGGGCAUCUCGACCUCGACACGGGAGGUAAGUCCGUGGAUCAAAAGGUAUACCGGUCAAUGAUAGGUUCAUUACUCUAUUUAUGUGCAUCUCGACCGGACAUUAUGCUUUCCGUUUGCAUGUGUGCAAGAUUCCAAUCCGACCCUAAGGAAUCCCACCUUACGGCCGUAAAACGAAUCUUGAGAUAUUUAGCUUAUACUCCUAAGUUUGGGCUUUGGUACCCUCAGGGAUCCACAUUUGACUUGAUUGGUUAUUCGGAUGCCGAUUGGGCGGGGUGCAAAAUCAAUAGGAAGAGCACAUCGGGGACUUGCCAGUUCUUGGGAAGAUCCUUGGUGUCUUGGGCUUCAAAGAAGCAAAAUUCGGUCGCUCUUUCCACCGCCGAAGCCGAGUACAUUGCCGCAGGUCAUUGUUGCGCGCAAUUGCUUUGGAUGAGGCAAACCCUGCGGGACUACGGCUACAAAUUAACCAAAGUCCCUUUGCUAUGUGAUAAUGAGAGUGCAAUCAAAAUGGCCGACAAUCCUGUCGAGCAUAGCCGCACUAAACACAUAGCCAUUCGGUAUCAUUUUCUUAGGGAUCACCAACAAAAGGGGGAUAUCGAGAUUUCUUACAUUAACACUAAAGAUCAAUUAGCCGAUAUCUUUACCAAGCCUCUUGAUGAACAAACUUUUACCAAACUUAGGCAUGAGCUCAAUAUUCUUGAUUCCCGCAAUUUCUUUUGCUAAAUUGCACACAUAGCUCAUUUAUAUACCUUUGAUCAUGUCUCUUUCAUGUGCUAUGACUAAUAUGUUUUCAAGUCCAUCUCCAACCAAGUCAUAGGUAUAUUGAAAGGGAAUUGGAAUCUUCGGCGAAGACAAAGGCUUCCACUACGUAACUCAUCCUUCGCCGUCACUCCAAGCAACUCUCCACUCAUGGGGGAGAAAAGCAUGAGCAUCAAAGAAAAGGACUUUGUCUUUGGGGGAGAGAGUAAGAGCCCAAAGCAAAAGGACCGGACUUCGUCUUUGGUAUAAUCUUAACUCAUUUAUUUAUGACCAAAGGGGAAGAUAGCACUUCAAGGGCUCUAAUGAUUCCGUUUUUGGCGAUUCAUGCCAAAGGGGGAGAAAGUAAGAGCCCAAAGCAAAAGGACCGCACCACCACCAAUUUCAAAAACUUAAGUGUUGAAUAUUUUCAUUUGGUAUCCUAUUGUGUUCAAAAGGGGGAGAAAAUAGUAUUUCAAAAUAAUAUAUCAAAACCCUCUUGAACACUAAGAGGAGAAUCUCUUUUAGGGGGAGUUUUUGUUUAGUCAAAGGAAAAGCAUUUGAAACAAGGGGAGAAUAUUUCAAAUCUUGAAAAUGCUUCGCAAAAUCUUAUUCAUUUACCUUUGACUAUUUGCAAAAGAUCUUUGAAAUAGAUUUACAAAAGAAUUUGCAAAAACAAAACAUGUGGUGCAAACGUGGUCCAAAAUGUUAUAUAAGAAAGAAACAAUCCAUGCAUAUCUUGUAAGUAUUUAUAUUGGCUCAAAUUCUAAGCAACCUUUACACUUACAUUAUGCAAACUAGUUCAAUUAUGCACUUCUAUAUUUGCUUUGGUUUGUGUUGGCAUCAAUCACCAAAAAGGGGGAGAUUGAAAGGGAAUUAGGCUUACACCUAGUCCCUAAUUGAUUUUGGUGGUUGAAUUGCCCAACAUAAAUAAUUGGACUAACUAGUUUGCCCAAGUGUAUAGAUUAUACAGGUAUAAAAGGUUCACACUCAGCCAAUAAAAAGACCAUGUUUUGGAUUUAACAAAGGAGCGAAGGGGCAACCGAAGGCCCUCUGGUUUGGGAGCACCGGACUGUCCGGUGUACACCGGACAGUGUCCGGUGCACCAGAGGACUCCAGCUCAAACUCGCCACCUUCGGGAAUUUCCAGAGGCACUCGCGCUAUAAUUCACCGGACUGUCCGGUGUACACCGGACAGUGUCCGGUGCGCCAAGGAGGAGCCGCCUCAGGAACUCACUAGCCUCGGGAAACUCCAACGGCUAGUCCGCUAUAAUUCACCGGACUGUCCGGUGUGCACCGGACUGUCCGGUGUGACUUCGGGGCAACGGCUAUCUCCGCGCCAACGGCUACCUGCUGUGCAAUAAAUGCGCGCGCAGAAGUCAGGCGCACCCAUACUGGUGCACCGGACAGCAAACAGUACCUGUCCGGUGUGCACCGGACACCCAGGCGGGCCCACAAGUCAGAAGCUCCAACGGUCAGAAUCCAACGGCUGUGAUGACGUGGCAGGGGGCACCGGACUGUCCGGUGUGCACCGGACUGUCCGGUGCGCCAUCGAGCAGACAGCCUCCCAACGGCCACUUUUGGUGGUUGGGGCUAUAAAUACCCCAACCACCCCACCAUUCAUUGCAUCCAAGUUUUCCACCUCUCAACUACUACAAGAGCUCUAGCAUUCAAUUCUAGACACACCAAAGAGAUCAAAUCCUCUCCAAUUCCACUCAAGCCUUUAGUGACUAGCGAGAGAGAUUUGUCGUGUUCUUUUGAGCUCUUGCGCUUGGAUCGCCUUCUUUCUUUCUCACUUGUUCUUGUGAUCAAAACUCCAUUGUAAUCAAGGCAAGAGGAACCAAUUGUGUGGUGGCCCUUGCGGGGAAGUUUUGUUCCCGGCUUUGAUUUGAGAAGAGAAGCUCACUCGAUCCGUGGGAUCGUUUGAGAGAGGGAAGGGUUGAAAGAGACCCGGCCUUUGUGGCCUCCUCAACGGGGAGUAGGUUUGCGAGAACCGAACCUCAGUAAAACAAAUCCACGUGUCACACUCUUCAUUUGCUUGCGAUUUGUUUUACGCUCUCUCUCGCGGACUCGUUUCUUUACUUCUAACGCUAACCCCGGCUUGUAGUUGUGUUUAUAUUUGUAAAUUUUAGUUUCGCCCUAUUCACCCCCCUCUAGGCGACUAUCAGUCGGGCUAAGCGCAUGAUUCCCACCACCACCAAUAUGAUUCGAUGCCUUCUCUUCCAGGCAUCUCUCCCUGCCAGCUACUGGGCAGAGGCCCUGCACACCGCCACCCACCUCCUCAACUACCUCCCAUCGAAGGCGGUGAGCCACCCUACUCCCCACUUCGCCCUGUACAGCACAACCCACUCCAACGACCAUCUCCGCGUGUUCAGUUGUGCCUGCUAUCCCAACACUUCUACUACUACUCCUCAUAAGUUGUCUCCCUGCUCCACCCGCUGCCUCUUCCUUGGUUACUCACCUGACCACAAGGGGUAUCGUUGUCUUGACCUCGUCUCCCACCGCAUCAUCUCCCAUCAUGUCGUCUUCGACGAAGAUGUGUUUCCCCUUGUUGGUUCCUCCCUACCUCACAUCGCACUGUUGCCCACGCCACGGGCGGCCCCAUCGACCCCACCUGCGCCACUCGUGGCUCCGACGCCUCCGCUCGCACUUCUACCUAUGCCACGUGUGGCCCCGUUGAUCAUGUCAGCACCACGCGUGGCCCCGUCGAACGCGCCUGUGCCACGAGUGGCCUCGUCGACCCCACUCACACCACGCAUGGCCCCGUUGACCCUGCAUGCGCCACACAUGGCCCCAUCGAUGAGCGUGACUCGCUUUGCCGAUCCCACCCUUGUGUACCACCACCGCAGGAGCGCCCCUCCCUCGGUGCCCACGGACCCGGGCCCCUCGACGAGCGCGACACGAUUCACCGGCCCCGUCGUCGUCUAUCACCGUCGCGAGCCAGCCCUGCCAGAUCCGUUUUGUCAAUCAGCAAAACCAGUUGCCCCUGACGUCCUAGUGGCCCGCUCCGAGCCGCCGGUGUACCACCCGGUCGCCAUUCACCAUAAGCAUGGGCACGUCCACCCGAUGGUGAAUUAACGCGCCGCCAGUGUCCUUCGGCUCGUCGACCGGUUGAUUCUGACUACUGAUACGACUGCUACUCCACCAGACGCCUCCCUGAUCCCCUCCUCUGUACACACUGCCCUCGCUGGCCCACACUGGCGUCGGGCUAUGAAAGAGGAGUACGCAGCCCUGCUAGCCAACCACACCUACACCAACAUGGUCACCAGCAAGUGGCUCUUUCGCAACAAGCUGACUUCGGAUGACUCCCUCGACUGCUACAAGGCCCAUUGGGUCCUUCGGGGCUUCACCCAGUGCCCCGGAGUAGACUGCGAUGAGAUCUUCAUCCCUGUCGUCAAGUUUGCCACCAUUCGCGCUGUCCUCUCCCUCGCCCUCUCUCGAGACUGGGCGAUCCAUCAGUUCGACGUCAAGAAUGCCUUCCUCCAUGGCACUCUGGUGGAGGUUGUCUACUGUAGCCAGCCCACCGGCUUCGUCGACGCUGCUCACCCGGAUCUGGUCUAUCGGCUGAACCGCUCCCUCUACGGCCUCAAGCAGGCGCUGCGAGCCUAGUACAACCACUUCACAUCCUACUUAGCCUCCAUCGGCUUCGUCGAGGCCAAGUAGGAUACGUCACUCUUCAUCUAUCAUCGUGGCAAGGACACCAUCUACCUCCUCCUAUACGUCGACGAUAUUGUACUCAUGACAUCCACUUCUGAUCUACAGCGCACGAUCAUCGCCCUCCAGCGGGAGUUUGCGAUGAAGGACCUAGGGCCCCUCCAUCACUUCCUUGGCAUUACCGCCAAACGCCGGCCCAGGGUCUCUUCCUUCACCAGCGCUAGUACGCCAUCGACAUCCUGGAGAGAGCUUGCAUGUUCGACUACAAGCCCUACUCCAUGCCUGCCGACACUCAGGCGAAGCUCUCUGAGGACGACGGGCCCCGGUCGCCGACGCGAUGUCUUACCGGAGCUUGACCGGCGCGCUCCAGUACCUCACCUUCUCCCUGUCCGACAUCGCCUACGUCGUCUAGCAGGUGUGCUUAUAUAUGCACACCCCAAGGGAGCCCCAUCUCACCGCACUCAAGCGGAUCCUGCGCUACCUCCGUGGCUCCCUCGACUACGGCCUCCUCCUCCGAUCAUCCCCGACGUCGAAGCUCGUGGUCUACACCGACGCUGACUAGGCCUGCUGCACCAACACGCGCUGGCCCACUUCCGGCUAUGCUGUGUUCCUGGGCGCCAACCUUGUAUCCUGGGCCGCCAAGCGGCAACCCGUCGUCUCCCGCUCCAACACAGAGGUCGAGUACCGCGCUGUGGCCAACGGCAUGGUGGAGGCCUUCUGAAUGCGCCAACUCCUCCACGAGCUCCACAACCCUCUUCAGCGUGCCACCCUCGUCUACCGCGACAACGUCAACGCCGUCUACCUCUCCACUAAUUCCAUGCAACAUCAGCGCACGAAGCAUGUGGAGAUCGACCUGCACUUCGUCCGUGAGCAUGUCGCUGCAGGUGACGAUCGGGUUCUCAGCGUCCCCACCACGCUGUAGUUCGCCGACAUCUUCAACAAGGGGUUACCGUCGGGUGUAUUUUUAGACUUUCGAUUCAAUCUCAACAUCUGUACAUGAUAGAGUUACGAUUGCGGGAGUGUUAGAAUACCCGUUAGGGUUUGGGGGGCUUCACUAUGUAAUUACCCUCUCGCCGCCUUUAAUGAGUCAGACCCAACUAAACCAAGUCUAUUAAUACAACACCCAACCUUAUUCUAGGGUCAGGUUUCCCACAGGAGGUGUGAACUUGUAAUUCGUAAGUUCAGUAAUCGUAAUCCUUAGGUGUGAAAUGCUAAGACUUGUAAUCUCUAGUUGUAAGACUGAAUCGUACUUAUUGGCUACCUAUUUCCUAAUGAAGAAAUAGGGGAAAACCCUCCCCGUGAAAAAAAACUGGCAGUUAAGUGGAUGCAUUACGGCUGUAGUACAACAUUACACGGACAAAACCUUUCCGCAUCCAAAGGAAAUCUGCUAUUUCCUUAAGAACAAUGUAAUGUUUUAUAUAUGGGGAUGUCAGCAACUUUUAAAACAUUAUAUCAUGUUCGACUUCGAACGCAUCGGGGGAAUUUCUAAACAUGCAUGUCGUUUUCAUGCUUGCUCAUCAAGAUAGAAAUAUUGGGUGGUCCUCGUACGUGUGAUCACCUUCAUUCUCUGAUAUACAAACCCUGUAAAAAAUGAUGUAUCAAGUCUUCCUAAUGAAAGUCUGUCUGACGCUCACACAGAAAGAACUUCAAUUGAUCCACACGCAAAACUGCAGCAGACCAACGGAAAAUAUGACUUUAUAUUAAAGGUUAGUAGGUGCGUGCCUCUAGGCUCUAGCUAAGAACAGAGACUAGGUACUUCUUGUUAAAACUAACGCGGAGUUGAUCUUUCUCCCUUUCAUUUACAAACUACUUCGUUCCAGCUUCCAGUCCAAUAUUAUAAAAACAAGCUCGCUCUUUCAGAUCUCCAAGAGACCAUCACAGCAUGCUACUUAAUAAUCUUCCCAUUGAAUGGUCGUCCCAAUAAUGGCCCCAAAUAAUUACCAUUGGCGAUAAGCUUUGAUUUAAUAGGACUCAGCAAUGGACGACAUAAACUGAUCAGUCUAUUCCCUGUCAACGAUCGAGCGCGGAGGAUUUUUAGAUGCAGACAUUAUUUUAUUAUAAACUGAUAAGGUUGGCUAUACAAGGGUUCUUACGGCCAACAGUUGGCUAUAUUAUUAAACUUGCUCUAACAGCAAGUAUAAUAAGCUGAUGUGUACAAGCUAUAAGGGCAUGUACAACCCCAUUUAAUAUAUAGUCUCUUAAGGGAUGUCUAAGGGGUUAAGUGAAAAAAUACAAGAGACGGACCCCGUCUCUUCACGACUCUCUCUAUACAUGUUGUCUCUUAGCUGCAUUUAUUAUUUAUAGUCUCAAGAUUGUAUUGUGCAGUCUCUUAGUUAUCUCUUAUAUUUUGAAAACCGAAUCGAAGUCUCAUGGUUGUACAUGUCAUAAGGGAUAUCACAUCAUAUUUAUGGUGACAUGAAAGAAAGAGAAGUGAAAAGAGAGAAAAUGGGUUGCUCACUACUCUAGUAGCAAGUUGAGAGUGGGCUGCUCACGAACUUUAAGACUCUUUGUUGAGAAAGAGGUAAACAACUCAGUAUUAAAUAUGCAACUUGUAUCAUGAGAGAGUUAUUAUAUGAGUGGAUUUUUAGUUGGCUAUAUGUAACAUGGCAAUGUCAUAAAACCUCUGCGAGCUACUAUCACUCCGGUGUACUAUUAGUUGUCGUCUCCAAAAUAUAACUUUAACCAAUGUUUGUAUUAAAAUACAAAUAAACUCUUAAUGUAUUUAUAUUUUUAUAAAAGUACUUGUUAAAACAAAUAGGUGUAUAUAAACAUUAUGUUUCAAAACUACAUAAUAAAAUAGUUAUUUGUAGCCAAAAUUUUAUAAGUUUGACUUAAAACUUAUCCAAAAUGAUAACUAAUAGGACAUCGAAGAAGUAUACCAUUAAACUUGCUCUAACUCCACCAUUUGCUCAAACCACAAUUCACGCACUCACAGAAUCGUUAUUAUUGAAGUGUCUGACAGUCAAGAUAUAGACAUAAUAAAAUCCCAAUAGGGUUGUUGUACAACGUGUGAUACUAUUCUCUUCCAUGCAUGCUAUAUAUCACUACUGGAAUUCGACUUUUUGCCGAGUGUUCGACGCUUUGCUGAGUAUAAUUUAUCAGACACUCCCCUCUCGGUGAACGAUGACUCUCCGCACAGACCUAGUUUACCGAGUGCAAAACACUCAGCAUAGACAAACUCUCGACAAAGGAGCUAGCCUUUGCCAAGUGUCAAGCUCUCGGCGAAAUCCCUCGGUGAUACAUUCCAAAGACAUAUUGUCUGAAAAGUACUAGAGUUAUAAUCUAGAGUUGUGCACCCUCUCAUGCUAAUCUCUUUUACUUAUUGCUUUUAUUAGUUAGAGGCUUCGGCCUUGGUAAGUUGAAGAAUUAUCUUGCGGGGGUGAAAUAAUUAAUUGGAUGAACUUUUUUCCACGCCUAGAUAGAUAACAAAGAGACUAUGAUAUAUAGUUUUCUUAUUGACCAAACGAACCAUGCACCUCCCCUGCUAAAGCCACACCUUGCCCAAAGUCACCAACGCCACUUCUCUAAUCUAGUCAAGUUAUUUUAACUAUCAGUCUUCCUAGAAUACAUUGAAUUUGUAUAUUGCUUAUGAUCCUAUACAUUGACUUAACACUAUAAAUACUCCCCUCCCCUUAUGAUGAUGAACAAGUGUGUCGUAUUCAAGAACUUUAAGCAAAUGGCUUCUUCAAGGAUGCGUGCUCAGCAACUCUACCAGGCUCUUGGAGGUGGAGUGGGAGGUGGAAGCGAUGGUGGUAACGGAGGGGGUGACGGUGGCGGUAAUGGGGGUCGCGGUGGCGGUGGCGGCACUGGAGGUAAUGGCGGUGGCAGCGAUGGGGGUAGUGAAGGUGGUGGUGGUGGUAACAGAGGGGGAGGCAGUGGGGGUGGCGGCGCUGGAGGUAGUGGCGGUGGCAGCGGUGGUAAUGAAGGGGGCGGUGGUGGGGGUAAUGGGGGUGACGGUGGUGGUAACGGAGGAGGAGGCGGUGGUGGUGGAAACGGAGGAGGCGGUGGUGGUGGGGGUAAUGGGGGUGGCGGUGGUGGCAGUGGACAUAGUGGCGGUGGUGGCGGUGGGGGUAGUGGGGGUGGCGGUGGUGGCAGUGGACGUAGUGGCGGUGGUAGCGGUGGGGGUAGUGGGGGUGGCGGUGUUUCUAACGGAGGAGGAGGUAGCGGUGGGGGUAAUGGGGGUGGAGGUGGCGGUGGCGGAGGCGGCGGCGGCGGAGGAGGUAGUGGCGGUGGCAACGAUGGGGGUAGUGGUGGUGGCGGUGGCAGAGGUAGGGGUAGCGGGGGUGGCGGUGGCGGUACUGGAGGAGGUGGUGGAAAAAACUAGGUUGCCUUGUUAUAUGCCUUGUUGCUACCCUCAUCACAACCUAGGAGUUUGGCUCUAUUUGAAUCAUUAUGGGACAAUGGUGAGGUAGUUGUAUCUAUGUUCAUGUUUAUGACCAAGCCAUGUUUAUGAGUGUGUAUAGUGCAAAGGUAAAUAAGGACGUCGAGCUAAAUCUCUAAACUUUAUGCAAACCCUCGACGUGGUGUUUGUAUUUUGUGUUUGAAUCUUGUGAAGCAUCUAUAUAUGCGUCAUGUACUCAGUUAUGUGCUCUCUCAUUACAUAUGAUAUGUCGUCCCGUGCUUGGCUACGGAUAUUCGUCA